rnacentral:rRNA from 1 species
GGCUCUUUGAAAUAAACACAUAAAGAGUCGAACCUGCCCAGUGAUUUAUUUAAACGGCCGCGGUACUCUGACCGUGCAAAGGUAGCAUAAUCAUUUGCCCUAUAAUUGAGGGCUUGUAUGAACGGUUUGACAAGAGCAUAACUGUCUCUUAAAAAUUUUAUAGAAUUUGGUUUUUAGGUGAAGAAACCUAAAUAUAAUUGAAAGACAAGAAGACCCUAUCGAGCUUUAGAGUAAUUAAUUAAAAAGUAUGAUUAAAAUAAUUAAUUUUAGUUAAAAACUUUGGUUGGGGCGACUGAGGAACAUAUAAAGCUUCUUUUAUUAAAAUAUGCCUAUAAGCUAUGAUCCAAAAAAUUUGAUUAAAAAAAUUAGUUACCGUAGGGAUAACAGCAUAAUCUUUUUCAAGAGUUCUUAUCGAAAAAAAGGUUUGUGACCUCGAUGUUGGACUAGGAUAUCUUAAAGAUGCAGAAGUCUUUAAAAGUUGGUCUGUUCGACCAUUAAAAUCCU